CAAACCAAAAUAUCAGUAAUAAUUUAGGCUGCACCAAAAAAACAAACAAACAAACAAACAAAAAACCCAAACCAAACCAAAACAAAACCCCCCAAAAAACAAGAAGUGAAUAGUCCAAAUAUUAAGCUUUUUCAUAAUUACAUUUUUCUUUCUAUAAACAUUUCUUUUUGUAAAUAAUACACCUGUCUAGACCUUAAGAAAAAUAACCAAUACAUAAAAUACCUGCACAUAUAAAAUCUUGAAAUAAGGACAUUGAGGAAUACCAUUUAAAGUCUCAAAAAUAACAUUAGAAGUUACAACAGAGAAAAAGCAAGCAGGUUCUAUGUUGAGAAAAAUGAUAAGACAAAUAUAAUGAAAAACAAAAAUAUGGAUGUAAUCAGCAGGUAUUUCUUAUGCUUCUUAGGUGGAGAGCCUAGAUAUAAAUUGCAUGGCAUGGUAUUAUUUACCAGUUCCUUUGGAAUCCUAAUGUAAUUUGCUUUAUGAAUGGGGAAAACAGUUCAACAGUUGUUAGUUCUGCAGGAGCACUUUACACACAUUGGAGCUACCUCUUGUUCACGAGAUGGUAUUCAGACCUCCUAUAUUUGUGCUUUCUAGUGCAAUGAGGAAAUGAAAUAGGACAAAAAUGCAACAUUGAUGCUUUGAAUCCUCUUGCUCUUUAGCACUUUCUAGUCUGCUCCAUAACAUUGGUAAAUUGUGGUUGGAUGAGCAGCUGGCAGUUGUCACACACAGUUCUUGGUGUACCAGCUGAGACGGGGAAGGAAGAAGUUUCAUGCAAGUAGGGUAAUGAAAGCAGAAGACAAUGCUUGUUUUUAAAAGUAUGGAUUUUGCAGUCUACUUUUUAAUAUCUGUUAUGCCCUUUCUUGCCCGUACUUUCUCCUUCAGGCCUGGGGACAUAGCAGCUCUGCGUCCUUUUCACAAAAAAAGGAAAGGUUCAUACAUUUAAGUGUUGAAUUAGGACAAAAAAGGCUAGAUACUGAAUUACAGUAAGCAUGGUAUAUUUAGUAGAAUUUAAUACUGUGCAAAUUAAGCCUAACAGCAAGUCAGGCUCUCAAAGUAGUAAAAAAAUCAAGGAAAGAAUGUUUUUGGCAUUUUUCGUUUAAGAUUUUUGGUGGAGAAAAAAUCUGUGCUAUCUAUCUAUCUAUCUGUGCUCACACUCACAUAAAAUGUGAAUAAUAUUGCCUUUUAGGAAAUGAACUAAUAAUCUUGAUAAACAGCCUUGUCUGAAACUUGUAAUGCAUUGAUUUUAAUCUUGAAAUAUUUAUUACAAGGGAGCAUUUAUGAAGCUGUUCGUAAAGUAACAGAAGUUUUCCUUGCCAACACGUAUUUCCGUCUUUUGGCACUCCGAGCUAAGUUAGUAACAGCAUAUGAACAACUCUGAUUAUUUCUGAAGUUACUUAUGAAAUAUGUUGCAUACAGAAUGUUUAAUACAAAGGCCAUACACAACUGUGGCAUGUGUUACCAACAGAAAUUUUAAGUUGUCAACAAGUGUUACUUGUCAAAGAGAACUCGCUGCUCUGGGUUAUGUGGCAAGCUAUACACUUUAGUUGCUGCCUUACCACAAACCAUGCUGAAGUACUUCAUUUUUGUAUACUGUGUUUUGGAGCCCAAAGAAUCUUUAAUCCUUUCCCACACAGUAGAGCAAAUUUAAUGGGAGGCUCAGAGGGAUUACAAAAAUGCUGAAACCUGAAUUGCAUUUUUUUUUUCUCCCCCAGCUGGGGAGAUACAUGAGACUGAGUACGUGACUUCUCAGUCAAUCAUAUUCAGCUGGGGCAGAUGGCUUUGUAGGAGAAAGGUACGAGCUGCUGUUUGCUGUCCCUGUGCCAACAGGUGAUGUUAUCUACUGCUGCACCUCUUGACUCGAAUGCAAUAAAAGCACAGAUUUAUGUGUGAGCUGCUUCCUUAGCAAACCGCAGGCAUACAGGCAUUUCAGCAAGUGCAGAGCCACUAAUGCUGUGCUGUCAGCCUUUGCUGGGUUGCUGCAGCUUGCCUGCUCUGCUGCCUCCCUUCCAGAACCUCUGCCAUGGCACUGUAAGCUGAGCUUCGAAACCUAAGGAUUUUUUUUAAGCCAUUAGCACUGAAUUUUUAAAGUUAUGAUCAAGCCUUUCCCAUGUGCCUUAGACAAAACAAAUAAACCUUCCAUUUAUAGCUGCUGAAAAAUUCCCAUCCAUAAAUGUUUCCUGCCUCAGCAGAAGGAUUGCACCAGUAUUUACACACUGACACUCAUUAACCCUACGAAACACAACAGCCUUCAUACAGUGUCCUCACUACCCCAAGUCUAAAGAAAGCACUUCAGCAGCAUGCACUCACUGUGGAGCACUGUCCCAAAUCAGAGACUUAAGUGGCUACCUAUUGUGCUCUUUCUUCAUCGUGCAUGUUUGUAGCUUGUACACCACAUUUACUCUUUUGGUGGGUGGCUGGAAGCCAGUGCAUAGGUCAGUGCCAGGGGAGUUCCACUGACCACAGGAAACUUUUGGGGAAAAAGGCUCCAUGAUUUGCUCAGCAACUUGGGUUACCCAAAAGUUUAUUUACCUCUUUAGGUAACACAUUGCAAUUAAAUUCCCCAGGAAAGAAUGUGCAAUAAAGAACCACACUGUCAUCAGGAGAAGACAAUAAAUAGAAAUAUAGAAGUUGUUUCUUGGCUCCUUUUGAAUUACUUGAUAAUUAAAUUCUGCCUGAAAAACUAUGUACUUUGGUUCUGACACGUCCAGCCCUCAAAACCUGACAAUUUGUCUUUGUUCAAAGAUUUAGUACAAGCCCAUAUGGUCAGCUGUUUUUUGUGAACAAGAAGACUUGUUCUUGAAAACCUUACUACUGCCUUCUGUCUGAAUCCAGGAGGCGGCUUAGGGCUUCAGAAUGGGAUUUAUCAGCAGAUGUGAGACAACAAAUGGGGAAAAAGAAACCACUGAAGAGUAAGCACUAGUCCAUCUUGUAACCCAACCAUUCUCUGGUUAUUAGGUCUUUGUGUGUUCAUACGGAAACAAGUACUAGUCCUUUGUCACAGCUGGCAGGAAGCAACCACAAGAAUUAGCCACUUCAUGGACUCUUUCAUUGCUAUUGGGGGAAAAAAAGCAUGUAGGAAAGGUUUUCCCUACAUAACAGAGCGUCAAAGAUACGUAUGGGGAGGUGCAGUAAGAAUUAAAUCAUAGAAUUAAGAAGAAUUGUAGAAGUAAAAUCUGAAUGUCCUGCAGACACUGAAAGAACAUAUUACCCCAAAAUUCAACAAAUCCAGCCAAAUUGACUGAACUGUGUCCUCUCCAAAGGUGUCUGGCUGCCAGGGUCUGACUCUCAGGGACACCCGUGUCUGGGAGCAGGUUACGUGUGGCUUCCAUGCCAAGCCAUGUGACAGAUGCAAUUGCAGUGGGACGGUGCUGGCCUGGGAGGCAGCCUGAAUCUUAGGGGCUAACCUGAAUCCUAGGGGCUGUCAUCCCAUCUUGACACAGCUGGUGGAGUAGAUCCUGCAGACCCACUGCUACUACUUGCAAAAUACUACUAGAUUAUCAUCUCCAGUUUCUGAAGGCUCUGCAGCACAAAGGUGGCCAGACAUCUCUUUUUCCCAUGUACUUUACAGAACUGUAAUUGUGUGGUAUAUAACCCAUGAGCUCUAACAAAUCCUGCUGAGCCUGGAUGAAGAUACUUUUUCCCACUGUCACUGAAUUACUCAUCCUUAUCAUCCUGCCAAACUUGCCAAUCUCCAAACAACUAGCUACCUGCUUGUGUGAGGUCUCACUGAUAAAUUUCAGGGUGAGUGCCCUAAAAUUACUCAGGAAAGUAGCUAGGCAGCAGCCUUUCUGCCCUCAAAAGCAAACUAACUAUUUUUUUUCAUUUUUCAUGCCACUGUUUAUUUUUGAUGACAGACAAAAGCAGGAGUGGCCUAACAGGAGAGGGUGCAACACUCUCACCUUAUGUAGAAUCAACUUACUGGACAAUGCAAGGCCUAAACACAUAAAAGUGCCACCACAGCACAGUAAUAUAGGAACACUGCAAGACAGCAAUUUCUUUAGGGGUCAGUUUUUAAAAAAAUUGAUCUCCCAUGAGAAUCAUCACUGGAGAAGUAAAAAUGGUUUCCUGUUUUUCUUGAAGAAAUGCUGCUCAUAACUAAAGCUGAUGUACAACAGAUAGCUUUACAUAUUAAACACAUUUACAUAUCUAAUAUAUAUAGGUUGUUAUAUACACAUACAUAAAUAUGUGAAAAAUACUAAACUCUAGAUAAUAAACAUAGCCAUCUUCUCUCUUUUGUUCCAAAUUUGCAGAAAAGAAAUUGUUACCUUAUUACAGCCAGGGAUCACAUAUAAACACAUACAUUUUCAUGGUUCUUUAUUACGGAGAAAAAGUCCUGUGUAUUAAUUUUAUUUAUACCACACACAAACACACAUAUAUGCAAAAUCAGAGUUUUUUUUCCUGUUGCACCUAGGAAGUUGACAGGUGUAUCUCAUGGGCACUCUGCUGAAUCUUAACUAGGAAGAAAAAUCCCUGAGGACACCACAGUCAUAUUGCAUUUAUGGCUGCUAAUCUGGGCCUCUAACACUACAUGAAGAAGUUCCACAUUCAUAUUUUCUGGCACAGUGACUAUAAAAUGCAUCUUGAGUGAAUGCUGACAAGAACAGAAAUGUUCAAGAAUAAAGGUUAUUUUAAGAGCUGGCAACAGUCUUGUAAGUUGUUUAUCUAGAGUCUUUCCUAUUAGAUGCAAUCCUAUUGCAAAUUUAAGUGAAGUGGUUAUUGUUCUUAAGAAGCAUGACCUCUUCUCCACACACCCAAAAUUGGAUAUGCUAUACACAGCACACUUCAUAAUAAGUUUUUCCUAUUUACUAAGGUCCGUUUAAUGUUUUUUGUUUGUUUGUAAAUGAAUAUGGACAGCCAUUUUUGAAAUUAUCUUUUACUGCAAUAAUAAACACACCAGUGUGGUAUGCAGUAAUUAAUACAACUCAAAUGGAACAAAACCCUCAUCAAUAACUUCAGUUCUUUGCCAAAUCUUUGUGUUGGUAUUAAAUGCUAUAGCAGCAGCCUUACUUAUUUUCACUCGGGAAAGACUGUUGAAAAACUGCAUUUGGCCUCUUAAACACAUAGGUUAUUCCAGCUCUCCAGAGCUGGAACCAAUGUGGAAAAAUAUUUUGGAGACAUUUCCCUUAUUUUAAUUAAUUCCAUUUGUCUACAGAGAAUGGGAAAGGAAGUGAAGGAAAGCACGGAGCUGAGAAGUUAGAACUAUUGUGUAUUUUACUUCUGUAAGCCUCUGUUUUGCAAAUGCUGUUUUCUUUGUUUAUGUUAUGAUGUUUCUUUAUCCCAUAACAUAUCCUACUCCUACAUGAAGCUUUUGAAAAGGCAGGAAAUAUUAAUUUAUUGCUACCAUUUGUCUGGCUUUCACAAAGGUGUGAAGUAAAGUAAGACAGCUAAUAGGCGAGAAUGUAUCUGAAAGUUACUUCUCUUAAUAAUUAUAAAUUAUGUAAUUUUGUUAGAAUCAUAUGCACUUCAUCUUGAACACCUUAAUUUGGCCUAUCAGAAGCAGGAUGAUGUAUUUAACACUCUCAUUAAUUUAUUCUGUGGGUCUCCCUGAAGAGAUACUCUUCAGUGAAAAGAGCAGAGAAUCUUAUCUAUUACAGCAAUGAUUUACAUAUAAAAUACUGUAAGCAUAUAUACUCAUAUGUAUUUUCUAUACAGUGAUCUAAAAAUAGUGAGGGGGUUCUUCUUUUUAAUCACUUAAUACUUCUCAGUUAAGAGAGCCCCUUUUUCUUAAAAUGACACAAAAAUGCUACUGUCCUUAGAGACAAUGUGGGCAUGACAAACAUGGCCUUUACUCCAAAUAGCUACACUUGAUGUAGCUUGAAGUAACAAGGGCCCUCAUCAGAGAAAGCAAAACAGGAAUCUUUCAAGCCCCUUCCAGCCUGGAUUUUUCUAUGAUUCUAUGAAAGCCAAGUGGACCAGAUUGGGUGGGCCUUCACUAAAGUCACAGUUUUAGUUCUCUCAUUUCCUGCAUGCCACUCAGCCUGCAGAUAAAAAGGAGCGUGACAAGAAAAAUGCCAUCUCAAAAGCAUGCAGGACCCAACAGCAGGUGGCUGCCAAGGGGAAGAAUCAACCCUCUGCUAUUGCAAAGGUUACCUUACAAAGAUGUCAGAGAAUGAGCCACAGGAAAGCAAGCAGUGACUGAUUUUGGGCUUAAACAGCCAGGUGAAGGUUUGAUACAACACACAUCCAAGGGAGAAGUAGGUCUGCAGAUAUAAUGCUCUGACUGUGAUCUUUUCAUGCUUUCAGCAUCCUGGCAAUCUCCAGGCUCCCACCCCUCCUCCCUCCCUAUUUGUUACCUGCUAAUGUUAUUUCAGCAUCUUGCUUUUUUGUAUUUGCAUAGAAAGCCUCGACCUUCACUCCUCAAAAAGCCAAACACAGAAGAAGCAGGUCUUCUAAAGAGUCAGUCCCAUGUGGGUAAAGGGGAAAAACCUAAUACAGCCGGAUCUCUUCUCAAUAUAGCAUGAAGAAGAGAAAAAUCACUCAGUUAAGAUGUUGAGUGUGGGCAAGGAAAGGAAUAUAAAACAUUAGUACUUGAAAAUACAGAGACAAAGACCUGGAUAACAUUGUGCUGAGUGUGGUAUAACAGGUAGUCUAGUAAUGCUGAGACAUUUGGUAUGUAAAUACCCAGACCAUUCACAGAGGACCCUAUGUUUUGCAGCAACUACAUAAGCAGAAUUCAUCAAUGCCAAUGUGAGUGCCUGCCUUACUUUUGUCAGUACUAUAAUACAACAGCCACUGUCACAAAACACACACUCUGCACUAGGUCCACGAAAGUACUGUAAUGUUUGAGUGUUGCAGAUACACUAACUCCACAAUACAUACAAAAAUGAAACUGUCAUCAUUAAAGGAAAAUAUUUUACUCUCCAGUGUUUUUCUUGGAUCACUAUUUCCAAGAGACUUUUGGAAUGGAACAGUGAAGAAAAUGUAGUCAUUAUGGACAGGUAUAAGCAGAUAUUAAAUAUGCUUACUGAGUAACGUGAUCAAGUAAUUCUGCAGCCCUAAUAAAUUUUCAUACUGUGAACUACUGCGGUACUAAAAUGAGCUGCUACAACAUUAUGACAGCAAUCUUAAUUUAAAGACCACCUUUUACAACAUUUGUAUUUAAAGUCAGAUGCCAGAAAUGCAGUGCACUGCAAGAAUCAUCUUUAGUCUUAUUUCUCAUGUAAAGUGGGAAACUUGGCUGCCGGGAAGAGCUGCUAAACAGUUACACAAAGAUGUAUAUGGCAUGUUUGUAGAUUAACCUCUUUCAGAAAAUGACUUAUCCACCUGUACCUACCUGCCUUUUUUCUUUUUUUAAUAUAAUGCUAAUCACCUUCUACAUUUAUUCUCUCUUCCAGUUCCUGAAAAUACCUGAUUUUGUCCCAAACCACUCAAACUCAGCAAGAGUUCCAGAGCAGCAAAUGGUACAUGGACUUUUUCUGCUUUUAACUGACAUUUUCUUGUCUAAAUGAUGAUUGUUCAAAGCCUUGAAAAGCUUUGUCUUCACCACAUUUUUAAGUGAAUAGUACAUAAAGUAAGUGCAAGGGGAAAAGUACAUGAAGUAUGUUCCUUGGGAAAUACUGAACUUCAGGAGCUAAGACAUUUUAAGACAGCAGGUACCAAGAUACCAAGGACUGAAAAGCAGGACUGGCAGGAUGUAGUUCUGGGAAGAUGCAUACAAGAAACAUGCCAGAGAGUUAUGUCGGAGCUGUCACAGACCAAAAGCAGCCCAGAAGUGAGCAUGCCCAGAGUGGUGGGAACAGCCAAAGCUACUGAUGCUUUAGUGAAGAAAAUGCUGUAGCACAUGGCAGUGCUAAUGGCACCAGAAAUGCAUUUGGUUUGGCGGCAUGGAAAAUGUUGGUCACCCCUGCUGUUGAAGCCAGCAGCUGUUCUGAUCCUAGCUGGGCCAGCACUCAUGUCCAUUCAGAGCUCAUCCCCACAGUACCUUACACAGCACAUUGUCACCUGUGCACAUUUGCUACACCUUCACUUCCAUUUUUCUGAACAAGAAGUUUUCUCGGUAUCUGCAGUACCAAAAUAUGAGGCUGCACGAACACCUGCAGUAAUAAUUCUAUGAGACAAAUGGUUAACAAGUACACAACAUGUAUUAUGCUUGAGGACUCUCCUGUGGGAGCUACCUCUCUCUGCAGCAUCCUGCCCAACAUUUUAUAGACAGUAUAUAUAGAUAGCAAAGUACAGAGAUGUAUAAUUACUCUCACAGCUCAGUUCUUCGAUUACUCGCUUAAACAAAAGAAUUAUCUGCAGCUAGCAGGAAAACUGCAUCAAUUAAGACAGGUUGGAACAAUCACCUAUAACAGAAACAUGCAUUGAAUAUUCUUCCUUUCAAGUGUAACACACUGUGUACGUUUGGUAAGGGAAUAUCAUAAUAACUAAAUAAACUUGGAUUUGUUUUCUUUCUUUAUUCUUACCUUAUCCAAACCACCAAACAUAAAGGGGAAAAGUUCAGGUGACUCAGAACAGUAAUAUUGUUUAACCUAGCAAUUUAAAUUUUCUGUUUUGUUACGGUCCUUUGAGCCAGAAGAAUGUUUUAAAAAAAUGCCUUUUAAUCUGCUACUGAAGCUAUGUUUGGGGACGUGAAAUACAUGUUGACCUGCUAAAUUUUGAAUUUGAAUAGAUGUUAGCCACAGUUUAAUUAUUUGGUGGUGAUGUGUCUUCUUCAAGACUCUGAACUACACUUACCAAAUUCUUGGUGCUGGUUACAGGAUGGCACCAGGUAUAUUGUGUUUUGUAAAACUGACAGGUGCUUUAUUAGCAUUUUAAAGUAACAAGGCCUUUUGUGUUUCAGGAAAAAAAAAAAGUCAAUUCUGCAACACAGACCAUUUUUCAAGACAUAAAAGACAAAGAAAAUUAAUUUUCCCCUGUCCUCCAAGAAGGCUAUAACCAAGGAUUAAACUUAAUUUUAUAUGAGGAACAAUUUACUUUAAGGUCCCAAAAUGUAUCUUCCUCUGCCCUGAUGUUACCUUAGAUACACCUCAGAUGUGAUUACAGGCUGGGCUUUUCUCCGUGCCCAUUAAAAUUACAAAAUUGUAUUUGAAAGGGAAGAAAUAACAGAUUGAAUUUAUCUUUAGAAAAUAUAGCUGUAUUUACAAAGAUGAAUUCAGUAUUGGAUGUUUUUGAUUCAAUCUGCUCUUUGCCCAAAAAGGAGCACCCCAUCAAGGCAAAUACAUGUCAAAUCUCUAUUGCA